UACGUAGGGUGCAAGCGUUGUCCGGAAUUAUUGGGCGUAAAGAGCUCGUAGGCGGUCUGUCGCGUCGGAUGUGAAAAUCCAGGGCUCAACCCUGGACCUGCAUUCGAUACGGGCAGACUAGAGUUCGGCAGGGGAGACUGGAAUUCCUGGUGUAGCGGUGAAAUGCGCAGAUAUCAGGAGGAACACCGGUGGCGAAGGCGGGUCUCUGGGCCGAUACUGACGCUGAGGAGCGAAAGCGUGGGGAGCGGACAGG
rnacentral:rRNA from 1 species